rnacentral:tRNA from 1 species
CGAAGGCCCGGCCAGGAGGCCCCAGCCGUUGCCGAUGGCCGGGGAGGCCAGGGGCAUCCAGCCGGUUUCGGUGGCCGGGUCCUCGG